rnacentral:rRNA from 1 species
UACGGAGGGUGCAAGCGUUAUCCGGAUUCACUGGGUUUAAAGGGUGCGUAGGUGGGCAGGUAAGUCAGUGGUGAAAUCUCCGGGCUUAACCCGGAACUGCCGUUGAUACUAUCUGUCUUGAAUGUAGUGGAGGUGAGCGGAAUAUGUCAUGUAGCGGUGAAAUGCUUAGAUAUGACAUAGAACAUCGAUUGCGAAGGCAGCUCGCUACACUACGAUUGACACUGAGGCACGAAAGCGUGGGGAUCAAACAGG